AUUGAACGCUGGCGGCAGGCCUAACAAAUGCAAGUCGAGCGGAGCGGCGGACGGGUGAGUAAUGACUAGGAAUCUGCCUGGUAGUGGGGGAUAACGUCCGGAAACGGACGCUGAUACCGCAUCCUAUCAGAUGCGCCUAGGGCGGAUUGGCUAGUGGGUGGGGUAGAGGCCGACCAAGGAGACGAUCCGUAACUGGUCUGCGAGGAUGAACAGUAACACGGGAACUGAGACACGGUCCAGACUCCUACGGGAUGCAGCAGUGGGGAAUAUUGGACAAUGGGCGAUAGCCUGAUCCAGCCAGGCCGCGUGUGUGAAGAAGGUCUUCGGAUUGUAAAGCACUUUAAGUUGGGAGGCGUUACCAACAGAAUAAGCACCGGCUAACUUCGUGCCAGCAGCCGCGGUAAUUC
rnacentral:rRNA from 1 species